UACGAAGGGGGCUAGCGUUGCUCGGAAUCACUGGGCGUAAAGCGCACGUAGGCGGCUUCUUAAGUCAGGGGUGAAAUCCUGGAGCUCAACUCCAGAACUGCCUUUGAUACUGAGGAGCUUGAGUCCGGGAGAGGUGAGUGGAACUGCGAGUGUAGAGGUGAAAUUCGUAGAUAUUCGCAAGAACACCAGUGGCGAAGGCGGCUCACUGGCCCGGUACUGACGCUGAGGUGCGAAAGCUAGGGGAGCAAACGGGG
rnacentral:rRNA from 1 species